UAAUAUUGUCAGUAAGUCGGUGUAGAUUUAUAAAGGUUACAGGUUCUUUCGUAGGAAGGUAUAAACAUUUUCGGAAAACAAUUUAACCAGAAUAUGAUGGUGUUUAUCCCUCUGUUAUUCGCAGCAGUACUUGUUCCAUGUGCAGACAGUUUGUAUUGUCUUAAUUGUGACGAUGUGACGAGAGCGAGGGACUGCGAACACAUUAAAGAAUGUGACCCGCAUGAAGUGUGUGUAUCCACUCAGUAUGUGAUUUCUAAUGGCAA